CUUGGCAGAGAACAAAAACAAAUGCUGGGGAUGAAGAAGUAUGCUGUGUGGAAAUAAAAGAAAGAAAAGAUUCCUGAUGGCCACAAAUUGGUUAGCACCCCUUCUUACCAUCACAGAAGACCCGAGGAUGAUGCCUGUGCUACAGAGGCUGGAGUACUGAUGCAGUUAACAGUGCCAUGCAAAGAUACAAUCAUAAUCAGUGAGCAAGGUGACCCUUUCAUUUACUUUGGCUGUCAGAAAACUAAACUUCUUGUUCAAGUUGUCUCUCUGUUGUUAGUGGAGGCAUAACAGCACUGUGGUGGAUGGGAUAAAGGGCCUGUUUUCAACAGCCCGCUGCCUCCAAAAGAAGGCUGUAUUAGCCCAGAUGGUCAGCUUAAGGCAGUCUGUAUAGCCAGUCUCCUCUUCUGUACAGGCUGAGCUUUAGCGAUCAAAACCAUAAGUGAUCAGGGAUCCUUAGACGUGCUCAGAGGCUGAGGGCCUUCAGUUCAGUGACUGUCUGUGUUUGUCCAUGAAGUCUAUGAGUCAGUAGCAGCGAUGACCAUGAUGGUUACAGACUUGGGUUUGUGUGGAUGUGCCAAAACAUUGUGUCUUGGUCAAAAGUCAUCACUUCAGUGAAACUGAAGUAGCUUGUCAUUUUUUUUCUGGCAAAUGGCAGACGAAGCCAUGUGGAACAGAUUGAGUGUUGAGCUCCUUGUUAGCACAGAAUUAUGCUCUUGCUACUGCCUACCUCUUUCUGUGAGCAUGGAUAUCUAGAUUCAAGGAUAUGCUACCCUGUCAAGCUUCAUGACAUCCUCUUCAUUAGUGUUGUAUUACACUGAGUACUGGCUAUUACUUGCCUCCAAUUUUUGUUCUCUCAGGAAGAUCUAGCCCCUGGGCCCCAAAGCCCCUCAGGCUCACAGUUACUUUAUGCCUUGCUAAUGAACUUAUUCAAGCAAAGCAGUGACAAUCCCUAAGUGAAAGCAGUUUUACUUGCACUGCUAGACUGCAGAACUAAGCUAAAACCAAUCGGAUUAAACUACUUUUAAUAUAUCUAUUCAGGGCUGAGCAACAGUUCAAGUACACAAAUCCAGCACUGAUUUCAACAGCAUUUGAUAAAGAGCUUUUACAUUCUGAUUAAUUUCUUGCGACUGUGAAAAUUGUUCAGAGAUCAAAUAAACGAAGUUUGCUAUGUCUGUU